rnacentral:lncRNA from 1 species
GCAGUCACCGCCUCAGAGAACUUGGCUGUGCCUCCCAUAUACGCUGAUCUUGGCAAGUCUGUCAGGGAUGUCUUCACCAAGGCUUUGGCUUAAUAAAACUUGAUUUGAAAACAAAGUCAGAGAUGGAUUGGUAUUUACCAGCUCAGGCUCUGCCAAGAAGGAAACCAUCAAAGUGAACAGCAGCCUGGAAACCAAGUACAGAUGGACUGAUGUUUACAGAGAAGUGGAACAGAGGCAAAACCCUGGGCACUGAGAUCACUGUGGAAGACCAGCUUGCUCGUGAACUGAAGCUGACCUUUGAUUCAUCUUUCUCACCUAACACUGAGGAGGAGAAGGGAAUUGCUAAAAUCAAGACAGGGUACAAGAGGGAGCUUAUCAACCUUGGCUGUGAUGUGGGCCCUCAGUCCGGGGCACUAUGGUGCUUGGCUAUGAGGGUUGGCUGGCUAGCUACCAGAUGAAUUUUGAGACCUUGAAGUCCCGUGUGACCUAAAGUAACUUUGCAGUUGGCUACAAGGUGGAAGAAUUCCAGUUUCAUACUAAUGUGAUCUACAGGACAGAGUUUGGUGGCUCCAUUUACCAGAAGGUGAACAAGUUUUUUGGCCAAAGGGAAAACUCCAUCCUGAUUGGCUUAAGGUACACUCAGACCCUAAAAACAGAAAUCAAACUGAUGUUGUCAGCCCUGCUGGAAUGGCAAGAACGUCAAUAUGGGCAGCCACGAGCUUGGCCUAGGACUGGCAUUCCAA